AUGGAACCGAGAGGGCACGCCCGGAGCGCAGCCUCGACCCGCCCCAUACCUGCCGCCCCACCGCGCACCGCUCCCCGCCGCCGCCGCUUCCCAGCGCCUCCUCCGUCCCCGCCGCUCCCUUUUAGCCUCGCCCCGGGGGUGGGGGUGGGCACGGGGAGGUGCCGGGGGCAUCCCGGGGUGGGGGCCGGGCCGCUCUGCCCCACCCCGCGCCUAAUGAGUUUGAUCCCGCCGCCCCCAGAGCUGCUGUCCCUGCGGGGGUCCCGAGUUCUGCUGAGGGUGGGGGGGACCCUCGGAAUGUUGAGGCCAAAGAGAGCGCCCUAUAGAAGCUCUGUGCAUCCCGACAGGGUGGGAGUCCCCCGACCCACGAGCACGAGGUGGGGAGAGGAAGGGGCCGCGUUCGUGUCCCUGCGCUCAGCGCUGUAUGUGCUGGGAAGGAACGCGGCCGUCCCGGUGCUGGGGCACACGCUGAGGGUCAAUACAAGCAGCCCCGGGCCCCCCCUCCCGGUCCCCCCGCCCGCAGCGAUUCGGUUCCUCCCGGGGAGCUCCGGCCUAGAGGGGAUUCCCCGAAGGUGCUGCCGGUGUCCGACGGAGACAGUGGGACUCGGGGCUGCUCCGGGCACCCAAAGGGGGUCCUACAAGACCCCCCCCCCGGCAGGCAGAGCAGCGCGGUGCUCCCCGAAGGGUUUUUCCUGCUCACGAGGCCUUGGAAGCUCAGGAAGGAACUGGGUCCGGCCCGGAGCCCGGCAGGAACGAGGACAGGAAUUCGGAGUGAGUCACGAAUCCUCCGAGACCCUCCGGGGACGGAGCGAAGCCACCGCGGGAUGGACGCGGGACAUCGCCUCCUCUGCUCCGCAUCCUCCUGCUUCCAGCCCCCCAACCCCCCCCCAACACAGCGACAGGAGCAGCAGCACCCGCAGCCCCACGCUCCUCCCGCAGGUGCCAUUUGGGGCCGGCAGCUGGGACGAAUUGGGACCCCAAUUCAGGACGCUGGGACGCAUCCUGGGCCACAGCCCCGUGCACAGACCCCACUGUGGUGCUGCCAUCUGGGCUCAGGGCGGAGCAGAACGGGGUUUUCCUGCUGGAUCCGACCUGGCUCCCCCUUCAAAGCAGCCCCCGACGUGCAGCAGCCGGAGCUGCACCGCCAGCAGGUCGGGGCUCCUCGAGGUUUGCACCCCACAGCCCGAGCGGGGCCACCCAAAGCCCCGGUCCUGA
rnacentral:lncRNA from 1 species